rnacentral:antisense_RNA from 1 species
AGUCCUCACCUCCCACAUGCUUUUCAACACCCGCUCUCACAUCCCAUCUGGGGCCUCUGCUUGCAUCCUACCAUUUCGUAAGCCUGGCCAACUCAAGCUCCGUGUGCCGCACCUAGAGCAGCCCAUCUCUGUGUCAGCUUUCAUAAGGAGGAGUCAGAGAAGUAAUCUGGAGACACUAAGAGUCAAAGACAGGAAAAAUGGGCUUAAGCAGGAGGAAAAUUCCAGCAGGACAAAGAAACACAGGCUGGGAGGUGAACUGCUCAGUUGCCAGACUACCAACCUAAGCCCAGGACACUGCCAGACUGCUGAGUCAAAGGGGUUUAGCAGCCCAUUUUCAUAGACAGACAGGAGCAUUGAAGAAGGAAUGGCUUCAUGAUGGCAAUGAGCGGCAUUGCCUGAAAGACAGCCUUCGAGAGUCUCCCAGAGCCGCUGAGGAGCAAGGCAUUGAAACUCUGCGUGAGAACAAGUGGUGACAUUCUCCAGUGUGUGCCCUGACUUCCUCCAGAGGGGAGCAAAAGCCAAGCCAAGAAACAAUAGAGUGAGCGCUCUAAGCUCAAACACGUAAGUACAC